rnacentral:rRNA from 1 species
GACGAACGCUGGCGGCGUGCUUAACACAUGCAAGUCGAACGGUGAAGCGCCUUCCUUUUUGGUGGGUGUGGAUGAGUGGCGAACGGGUGAGUAACACGUGAGUAACCUGCCCCCUUCUUCUGGAUAACCGCAUGAAAGUGUGGCUAAUACGGGAUAUUCUGGGUCUGUCGCAUGAUGGGUCUGUGAAAGAUCUUGUUUCGGUGGGGGAUGGGCUCGCGGCCUAUCAGCUUGUUGGGGGGGUGAUGGCCUACCAAGGCGGUGACGGGUAGCCGGCCUGAGAGGGUGGAGGGACAACAGGGGAAGGAGACAGGGCGAAAGCGCGAAGGGGGAGAGGCGGGGGGGAAAGUUGAGAAAGGGGGGGAAGGCUGAAGGGGAGAAGGCGGGAGGGGGAGGGGGGCCUUCGGGGUGGGAACCUUUUUGGCAAGAAAAGAAGGCCGGCUUGGUUGGGGGGUGGGUGGAGGGAAGUGGGAAAAAAAGGGCGGGUAAAUUAGGG